rnacentral:rRNA from 1 species
UGGGGAAUAUUGGACAAUGGGCGAAAGCCUGAUCCAGCAAUGCCGCGUGUGUGAAGAAGGCCUUCGGGUUGUAAAGCACUUUAGUGGGGGAAGAAGUGUACGCAAGUACAUUGACGGUACCCCAAGAAUAAGCACCGGCUAACUCUGUGCCAGCAGCCGCGGUAAUACAGAGGGUGCGAGCGUUAAUCGGAAUGACUGGGCGUAAAGGGCGCGUAGGUGGAUUGUUGUGUUGGAUGUGAAAGCCCCGGGCUUAACCUGGGAAUUGCAUACAAAACUGGCAGUCUAGAGUGGAGCAGAGGUGAGUGGAAUUUCCGGAGUAGCGGUGAAAUGCGUAGAUACCGGAAGGAACACCAGUGGCGAAGGCGACUCACUGGGCUCGAACUGACACUGAGGCGCGAAAGCGUGGGGAGCAAACAGGAUUAGAUACCCGCGUAGUCC